UCGAGAAUCUUCGGCAAUGGGCGCAAGCCUGACCGAGCGACGCCGCGUGGAGGAUGAAGGCCUUCGGGUUGUAAACUCCUGUCGAGGGGGAGGAAGGGGCAACCUUGACCUAUCCCUGGAGGAAGCACGGGCUAAGUUCGUGCCAGCAGCCGCGGUAAGACGAACCGUGCGAACGUUAUUCGGAAUCAUUGGGCUUAAAGCGCGUGUAGGCGGAUGGGAACGUCGGUGUUGAAAGCCCCCGGCUCAGCCGGGGAAUUGGCUCCGAAACGACCCGUCUGGAGGGGCAUAGGGGGAUCUGGAACUUCCGGUGGAGCGGUGAAAUGCGUUGAGAUCGGAAGGAACGCCCGUGGCGAAAGCGAGAUCCUGGAUGUCUUCUGACGCUGAGACGCGAAAGCUAGGGUAGCGAACG
rnacentral:rRNA from 1 species